rnacentral:rRNA from 1 species
GAUUAACGCUAGCGGCAGGCCUAAUACAUGCAAGUCGAACGGGAUUUCGGGUAGCAAUAUCUGAAUGAGAGUGGCGCACGGGUGCGUAACACGUAUGCAAUCUGCCUCUGACUGGGGAAUAGCCUUCCGAAAGGAAGAUUAACACCGCAUAAAAUAAUGAAGUGGCAUCACUUUAUUAUCAAAACUCCGGUGGUCAGAGAUGAGCAUGCGUCCGAUUAGCUAGUUGGUGAGGUAACGGCUCACCAAGGCGACGAUCGGUAGGGGGUCUGAGAGGAUGAUCCCCCACACUGGUACUGAGACACGGACCAGACUCCUACGGGAGGCAGCAGUAAGGAAUAUUGGACAAUGGUCGCAAGACUGAUCCAGCCAUGCCGCGUGAAGGAUGAAUGCCCUAUGGGUUGUAAACUUCUUUUAAACGGGAAAAAACCCCUCUACGUGUAGAGGGCUGAUGGUACCGUAAGAAUAAGGAUCGGCUAACUUCGUGCCAGCCGCCGCCGUAA